rnacentral:rRNA from 1 species
AUUGAACGCUGGCGGCAGGCCUAACACAUGCAAGUCGAGCGGAUGACGGGAGCUUGCUCCUCGAUUCAGCGGCGGACGGGUGAGUAAUACCUAGGAAUCUGCCUGAUAGUGGGGGACAACGUUUCGAAAGGAACGCUAAUACCGCAUACGUCCUACGGGAGAAAGCAGGGGACCUUAGGGCCUUGCGCUAUCAGAUGAGCCUAGGUCGGAUUAGCUAGUUGGUGAGGUAAUGGCUCACCAAGGCGACGAUCCGUAACUGGUCUGAGAGGAUGAUCAGUCAAAGUGGAACUGAGACACGGUCCAGACUCCUACGGGAGGCAGCAGUGGGGAAUAUUGGACAAUGGGCAAAAGCCUGAUCCAGCCAUGCCGCGUGUGUGAAGAAGGUCUUCGGAUUGUAAAGCACUUUAAGUUGGGAGGAAGGGCAGUAAGCUAAUACCUUGCUGUUUUGACGUUACCGACAGAAUAAGCACCGGCUAACUCUGUGCCAGCCGCCGCUGUAAUAC